AGUGAACGCUGGCGGUAGGCCUAACACAUGCAAGUCGAACGGCAGCACAGUAAGAGCUUGCUCUUACGGGUGGCGAGUGGCGGACGGGUGAGGAAUACAUCGGAAUCUACUUUUUCGUGGGGGAUAACGUAGGGAAACUUACGCUAAUACCGCAUACGACCUACGGGUGAAAGCAGGGGAUCUUCGGACCUUGCGCGAUUGAAUGAGCCGAUGUCGGAUUAGCUAGUUGGCGGGGUAAAGGCCCACCAAGGCGACGAUCCGUAGCUGGUCUGAGAGGAUGAUAAGCCACAUUGGAACUGAGACAGGGUCCAGACUCCUAAGGGAGGCAGCAGUGGGGAAUAUUGGACAACGGGCGCAAGCCUGAUCCAGCCAUACCGCGUGGGUGAAGAAGGCCUUCGGGUUGUAAAGCCCUUUUGUUGGGAAAGAAAAGCAGCAGGUUAAGACCCCGCUGUUCUGACGGUACCCAAAGAAUAAGCACCGGCUAACUUCGUG
rnacentral:rRNA from 1 species